AGUUGCGUCUGUGACCUACACCACAGCUCAAGGCAACGCUGGAUCCCUAACCCACUGAGCGAGGCCAGGGAUCGAACCUGCAACCUCUCGGUUCCUAGUUGGAUUUGCUAACCACCGAGCCCCGAGGAGAGCUCUAGGCAUGGCUAAUCAUUCUACAAGGAAUAGAUCUUAUAGGAGCAGCGCAGACUGGAACAGGAGAGACAUUGUCCUACUUCAUGUCUGGAUUUAUUCGUUAUUUUCUGAAGACAAGGAGCGUGCCACACGGGGCUCGUUCUGCGGACCAGAUGCAAGGCCUGUCCGUGUCCAGAAAAGGCCUGUGAAGUGAAGCGACUCGCUGCUGCGCCUCUAAAAGCGAGGUUCUUUGUGAGUUGGUGCUGCUGCUUUGUUUCCGUGAAAUGCGUUAGGUUUUCGGGAGAGGGGAUUUUUAAAUUUCUUUCCCUUGGAAUGUCCUGCUUGAGAAUGCUGUGCUUACUGAUUUGGGCCUUAGGAUUUACGCACCCAAUUAGAGGCAGGGGCCUGAUGUAUAGAUGCCCCUUUUCUGGUGCCCACUUAAUGCAGUUAUACUGUGAGGAAAAGCAGAACAAAGGAUACUCAUCUCUUACUCCCCAAGCAAGAAAUUUUUUCCAUCAUUAGUUCAGGUCAGUCUAGAGAUUCAGCUGCAACUGAUUAAAAUCAGACUCUGGAGUUCCCAUUGUGGCUCAGUGAUUAGGAAAUCUAACUAGGGAUCAUGAGGUUGCGGGUUUGAUCCCUGGCCU